rnacentral:rRNA from 1 species
UAGAGUUUGAUCAUGGCUCAGGAUGAACGCUGGCGGCGUGCCUAAUACAUGCAAGUCGAACGAACUUCCGUUAAUUGAUUAUGACGUACUUGUACUGAUUGAGAUUUUAACACGAAGUGAGUGGCGAACGGGUGAGUAACACGUGGGUAACCUGCCCAGAAGUAGGGGAUAACACCUGGAAACAGAUGCUAAUACCGUAUAACAGAGAAAACCGCAUGGUUUUCUUUUAAAAGAUGGCUCUGCUAUCACUUCUGGAUGGACCCGCGGCGUAUUAGCUAGUUGGUGAGGUAAAGGCCCACCAAGGCAGUGAUACGUAGCCGACCUGAGAGGGUAAUCGGCCACAUUGGGACUGAGACACGGCCCAGACUCCUACGGGAGGCAGCAGUAGGGAAUCUUCCACAAUGGACGCAAGUCUGAUGGAGCAACGCCGCGUGAGUGAAGAGGGUUUCGGCUCCUAAAGCUCUGUUC